rnacentral:rRNA from 1 species
UACGUAGGGUGCAAGCGUUAAUCGGAAUUACUGGGCGUAAAGCGUGCGCAGGCGGUUUUGUAAGUCUGUCGUGAAAUCCCCGGGCUCAACCUGGGAAUUGCGAUGGAGACUGCAAGGCUAGAAUCUGGCAGAGGGGGUAGAAUUCCACGUGUAGCAGUGAAAUGCGUAGAGAUGUGGAGGAACACCGAUGGCGAAGGCAGCCCCCUGGGUCAAGAUUGACGCUCAUGCGACGAAAGCGUGGGGAGCAAACAGGAUUAGAGUACC